rnacentral:lncRNA from 1 species
CUUCACAAAUUCUAAUGCAGUCAUGUUAGAAGGUAACAAGGCGUUAUGUCAACAAAUUGACAUAUUUGCAUUGCCGAUCUGCCACAUCACAUCUGCAAGAGAAAGAAAAAUUAAUGAACGCCUACUGCUGAUAACAGUUCCACCAGUUAUUAUCGCUUUGUUGUCAUUUUUAUGUGUUCUUACCACUGUUACGAAGGGAAGAAUAACCCAGCCAUCUGAAAGCUACAGAGAGACAAUGAAGAAGGUGUCUUAUGGAGACAUUCUUAAAGCUACCAAUUGGUUUUCUCCAGUCAACAGGAUCAGCUCAAGUCAUACAGCAUCAGUCUACAUAGGUAGGUUUCAGUUUGAUACAGACCUUGUUGCCAUCAAGGUAUUUCAUCUUGACGAGCAAGGUUCGCUCAAUAGCUUUUUGGCAGAGUGUGAAGUGCUAAAACAUACCCGCCAUCGCAAUCUCAUUCAAGCAAUUACUUUGUGCUCGACAGUUGAUUUUGAGAACAAUGAAUUUAAAGCUCUAGUAUACGAAUUCAUGGCAAAUGGUAGCUUGGACAUGUGGAUACACCCAAGGCAAGACCAACGUAGCCCUACGAGGGUGUUAAGUUUAGGUCAAAGGAUUAGUAUUGUUGCAGAUGUAGCUUCUGCUCUUGAUUAUAUGCACAACCAAUUGACACCUCCAUUGAUUCACUGUGAUUUGAAGCCUAGCAAUGUUUUGUUGGAUUAUGACAUGACCUCGCGCAUUGGGGAUUUUGGGUCAGCAAAAUUUCUCUCUUCAAGUCUUAAUAGUACCCCAGAAGGGUUGGUUGGAGCCUCAGGAACCAUUGGAUAUAUCGCACCUGGUAAGUUGUACACCUCGUUUGUUUAUGGACUAUUAAACUUUUCUUUUACUAGUUUAUGAAUAAAUAAUGUUAUUACUCCUGUUUUGCCAGAAUAUGGGAUGGGAUGCAAAAUCUCAACCGGUGGUGAUGUUUAUGGUUUUGGGGUAUUAUUGCUAGAAAUGCUCACAGCAAAGCGACCAACUGACACACUGUUUGGUAAUGACCUCAGCCUUCAUAAGUAUGUAGACUUAGCAUUCCCAAACAAAAUUAAUGAGAUUUUAGAUCCCAAAAUGCCACAUGAGGAGGAUGUUGUUUCUACCCUUUGCAUGCAAAGAUAUAUCAUACCGUUGGUUGAAAUUGGCCUUAUGUGUUCCAUGGAAUCACCAAAUGGUAGACCAGGAAUGCGAGAUGUUUAUGCAAAACUUGAGGCCAUCAAAGAGGCAUUUGUCGAAACCUUUUGAUAGUGGCAGUGGCAAUGCAAUUAUGCAGAUGGAAUUUUGGCAAAGAACAAUAAUUUAAGGAGACUGGAGGGAUGUAUCAUGGACAGGGAGAAGGAAGAUGGCUCUCUAAUUAGGAUAUAUAUUUUGCAUGCAUAUAUGGUCAAAAGUCGGAACCAUUAACCCUGGAUGGGUGACUACUUAGCUCAUCAAACAUCUAAGCAUGGAGACAUGUAAUACAGUGAAAUAUAUAUUCAAGUGAUAUUUUUUCUAGAAGUUAGUGAUGACGAUAUAUAUAGCAGCCUUCCAAGGCAAGCAGAUCUCUCUUAACUAUAUUAUAUAUUUAUUCUCAGGUAUUCGUAAUUUUUGCAAAAUCGCACAGUAAUGGUUUUUGUAACCAAGUAAACAGUAAAAGCCAUUUUACCUGGCCUUGUGCUUUGCAAUAAUCAGGUCAUCCCAGUGUGUGCAUCAAAAUACACAUUGCAAUAUCCAACCCAAUGUACAGCAUAAGAAGCUUGUUCACCCUUUCUUCAGUGGCAUGAAACAUCAUAAACACCUGAAAUGCAGCGACCUGUCAAAUCCGCUGCAUUUUGGAGUUAUA